AUUGAACGCUGGCGGCAGGCCUAACACAUGCAAGUCGAGCGGAUGAAGGGAGCUUGCUCCUGGAUUCAGCGGCGGACGGGUGAGUAAUGCCUAGGAAUCUGCCUGGUAGUGGGGGAUAACGUCCGGAAACGGGCGCUAAUACCGCAUACGUCCUGAGGGAGAAAGUGGGGGAUCUUCGGACCUCACGCUAUCAGAUGAGCCUAGGUCGGAUUAGCUAGUUGGUGGGGUAAAGGCCUACCAAGGCGACGAUCCGUAACUGGUCUGAGAGGAUGAUCAGUCACACUGGAACUGAGACACGGUCCAGACUCCUACGGGAGGCAGCAGUGGGGAAUAUUGGACAAUGGGCGAAAGCCUGAUCCAGCCAUGCCGCGUGUAUGAAGAAGGUCUUCGGAUUGUAAAGCACUUUAAGUUGGGAGGAAGGGCAGUAAGUUAAUACCUUGCGGUUUUGACGUUACCAACAGAAUAAGCACCGGCUAACUUCGUG
rnacentral:rRNA from 1 species